AGUGAACGCUGGCGGUAGGCCUAACACAUGCAAGUCGAACGGCAGCACAGUAAGAGCUUGCUCUUACGGGUGGCGAGUGGCGGACGGGUGAGGAAUACAUCGGAAUCUACUUUUUCGUGGGGGAUAACGUAGGGAAACUUACGCUAAUACCGCAUACGACCUACGGGUGAAAGCAGGGGAUCUUCGGACCUUGCGCGAUUGAAUGAGCCGAUGUCGGAUUAGCUAGUUGGCGGGGUAAAGGCCCACCAAGGCGACGAUCCGUAGCUGGGCUGAGAGGAUGAUCAGCGACACUGGAACUGAGACACGGUCCAGACUCCUACGGGAGGCAGCAGUGGGGAAUAUUGGAAAAUGGGCGCAAGACUGAUCCAGCCAUACCGCGUGGGUGAAGAAGGCCUUCGGGUGGUAAAGCCCUUUUGUUGGGAAAGAAAAGCAGCAGGUUAAUACCCCGCUGUUCUGACGGUACCCAAAGAAUAAGCACCGGCUAACUUCGU
rnacentral:rRNA from 1 species